rnacentral:rRNA from 1 species
GAAGUAAAAGUCGUAACAAGGUCUCCGUUGGUGAACCAGCGGAGGGAUCAUUAAAGAGUUCUAUAACUCCCAAACCCAUGUGAACAUACCUUACGUUGCCUCGGCAGGUCGCGCCUACCCCGUAGCGCCCUACCCUGUAGGACCUACCCGGAAGACGCGGGUAAGCCUGCCGGCGGCCCACGAAACUCUGUUUAUUUUUGAAUUCUGAACCUAUAACUAAAUAAGUUAAAACUUUCAACAACGGAUCUCUUGGUUCUGGCAUCGAUGAAGAACGCAGCGAAAUGCGAUAAGUAAUGUGAAUUGCAGAAUUCAGUGAAUCAUCGAAUCUUUGAACGCACAUUGCGCCCAUUAGUAUUCUAGUGGGCAUGCCUGUUCGAGCGUCAUUUCAACCCUUAAGCCUCUGUUGCUUAGUGUUAGGAGCCUACGGUACCCGUAGCUCCCCAAAGUUAGUGGCGGAGUCGGUUCACACUCUAGACGUAGUAAUUUUUUCUCGCCUAUCAGUUGGACCGGUCCCUUGCCGUAAAACCCCCCAAUUUUUAAAGGUUGACCUCGGAUCAGGUAGGAAUACCCGCUGAACUUAAGC